rnacentral:lncRNA from 1 species
UUAUAUUGAUACAGCAAUUAAUUAUAUAUGACAGAAUAAUUGAAGAAGUUUUCCUUGUGUAUUCAUAGAGAACCUAACUCAUGAGCACAUUGUAUUGCAGUUUGGACAUAUUUAUAGGAUUCCUAAAAUAAGCUGACCAAGAAAAAGCACUUUUCUGAUAUGCCACAGAAAUGUAGUGAGUUGCCCGAAGUGUGAAUAACCUAUCUUGAAUAAUCAGAAUUCAAAAAAGAAGAAUUAAAAGUCAAAGUUUCAGUGCAAUCUCCCUGGUCUAUCAUUUAAAUCCAGUCCUUGAUGCCUUAGAGUCUUAACAAAUCUGUAUAAUUUUUUUUUUAAAGGAAAGAUUUAUUUUACACAGUGUCACUUUACCCUAUAUUAAAUAACUAAAGAUCUCUCUCAACUUGUGUAAUAGUAUUUUGUAUUUCAAAGUAAUUUUCUGACACAAUCUCUGAUAAGAAGUAUGUAGCCACU